GCCAGUGUGGCAUAGUGGUUUAAGUGUUGGAGGAAGACUCUGGAGACCAGGGUUCAAGUCCCAGCUCAGCCA